rnacentral:tRNA from 1 species
AGUGAUAUAUCAUUAAUAUCAAUUGGUUAGAGUAAAAACAAACCAGUCUGGGGGACUGGUGGUCGGAGGUUCGAAUCCUCUCGUCCCGACCA